ACUGAACGCUGGCGGCAGGCUUAACACAUGCAAGUCGAGCGGGGUGAUGGUGCUUGCACUAUCACUUAGCGGCGGACGGGUGAGUAAUGCUUAGGGAUCUGCCUAUUAGUGGGGGACAACAUCUCGAAAGGGAUGCUAAUACCGCAUACGUCCUACGGGAGAAAGCAGGGGAUCACUUGUGACCUUGCGCUAAUAGAUGAGCCUAAGUCGGAUUAGCUAGUGGGUGGGGUAAAGGCCUACCAAGGCGACGAUCUGUAGCGGGUCUGAGAGGAUGAUCCGCCACACUGGGACUGAGACACGGCCCAGACUCCUACGGGAGGCAGCAGUGGGGAAUAUUGGACAAUGGGGGGAACCCUGAUCCAGCCAUGCCGCGUGUGUGAAGAAGGCCUUAUGGUUGUAAAGCACUUUAAGCGAGGAGGAGGCUCUUUUGGUUAAUACCCAAGAUGAGUGGACGUUACUCGCAGAAUAAGCACCGGCUAACUCUGUGCCAGCCGCCGCGGUAA
rnacentral:rRNA from 1 species